GACGAACGCUGGCGGCGCGCCUAACACAUGCAAGUCGAACGGAGGAAGCAGCUUCGGUUGUUUUCUGAGUGGCGGACGGGUGAGUAACGCGUGAGGAACCUGCCCUACAGAGGGGGAUAACGACUGGAAACGGCCGCUAAUACCGCAUAACAUAUAACUCCGGCAUCGGAGGGAUAUCAAAGGAGAGAUCCGCUGAAGGAUGGACUCGCGUCCGAUUAGGUAGUUGGCGGGGUAAAGGCCCACCAAGCCCGCGAUCGGUAGCCGGACUGAGAGGUUGGCCGGCCACAUUGGGACUGAGAUACGGCCCAGACUCCUACGGGAGGCAGCAGUGGGGGAUAUUGCACAAUGGAGGAAACUCUGAUGCAGCGACGCCGCGUGAGGGAAGAAGGUCUUCGGAUUGUAAACCUUUGUCUUCAGGGACGAAGAAAGUGACGGUACCUGAGGAGGAAGCCACGGCUAACUACGUG
rnacentral:rRNA from 1 species